rnacentral:snRNA from 1 species
AAAACGCAAAAAACGCAGGAUU